GAUGAACGCUGGCGGCGUGCCUAAUACAUGCAAGUCGAGCGAACAGACGAGGAGCUUGCUCCUCUGACGUUAGCGGCGGACGGGUGAGUAACACGUGGAUAACCUACCUAUAAGACUGGGAUAACUUCGGGAAACCGGAGCUAAUACCGGAUAAUAUAUUGAACAGCAUGGUUAAAUAGUGAAAGACGGUUUUGCUGUCACUUAUAGAUGGAUCCGAGCCGCAUUAGCUAGUUGGUAAGGUAACGGCUUACCAAGGCAACAAUGAGUAGCUGACCUAAGAGGAUGAUCCGCCACACUGGAACUGAGACACAGUCCAGACUCCUACGGGAGGCAGCAGUAGGGAAUCUUCCGCAAUGGGCGAAAGCCUGACGGAGCAACGCCGCGUGAGUGAUGAAGGUCUUCGGAUCGUAAAACUCUGUUAUUAGGGAAGAACAAAUGUGUAAGUAACUAUGCACGUCUUGACGGUACCUAAUCAGAAAGCCACGGCUAACUACGUG
rnacentral:rRNA from 1 species